rnacentral:lncRNA from 1 species
GAUGAAACUUAAAAGUACCCCUCAAUCCGCGAGAAAAAGAAGGGAAGAGUAAUGGGUUCUGUUCUUUUCCAUUAAAAUCUAGUCUUCCACCAAUAGUUUCUACGAAUUUGUUCUUGGAAGUUUCACUUGGUGAGAUUUUAACCUCUUUUAUUAGUGUUGUUUUUGGAUUCCAUAUUCUUCGAUGAUGAAUAAAGGUGUGUUCUUCAUGUUGUAUUAUGCUUCAUGUAUUGACUACUGAGAAUCUAUUUUAUUCCUAUUAUUAUAGUGGAAAUUGAUUCGGAGGUUGCAUAUUGGUGUUUUCUUGUGUUUUAUUUUUUCGAUAUUUAUAUUGCUUACAUAAAUUGUUGCUUUUGUGGUAUUGCAGUUUGUAUUGGUGCGUUGGUGUAUGGUAUCGGACCAGGUUGUAUUGUGUGGACUAAAAUGGAGGAGUCGGUAGGUAGUGCUAUGAUUAAACUCACAGGUCAAAAUUGGGUGACUUGGAAGCCUAGAAUGGAGGGAAUCCUUUAUUGAUCAAUCACAACCUUC